GCUGGAUAUGGUGGCACAUGCCUGUAGUCCUAGCUACUUGGGAGGCUGAGAUGGGAGAAUUGCUUGAGCCCAGGAGUUUGAGGCUGCAGUGAACCAAGGUCACACCACUGUACUCCUGCCUGGGCAACAUAGCAAGACCCUGUCUCCA
ensembl:misc_RNA Metazoa_SRP Metazoan signal recognition particle RNA